CCCUUAGAUGUUCUGGGCCGCACGCGCGCUACACUGAUGAAUGCAACGAGCUCUACCCUUGACCGAAAGGCCCGGGUAAACUUGUGAAACUUCAUCGUGAUGGGGAUAGAUUAUUGCAAUUAUUAAUCUUCAACGAGGAAUUCCUAGUAAGCGCGAGUCAUCAGCUCGCGUUGAUUACGUCCCUGCCCUUUGUACACACCGCCCGUCGCUCCUACCGAUUGAAUGGUCCGGUGAAGCGUUCGGACCGUGGCCUUUGGACGGUUCGCCGUCUGUUGGCUGCGGGAAGUUCGUUAAACCUUAUCAUUUAGAGGAAGGAGAAGUCGUAACA
rnacentral:rRNA from 1 species